GAUGAACGCUGGCGGCGUGCCUAAUACAUGCAAGUCGAGCGGACAGACGAGGAGCUUGCUCCUCUGACGUUAGCGGCGGACGGGUGAGUAACACGUGGAUAACCUACCUAUAAGACUGGGAUAACUUCGGGAAACCGGAGCUAAUACCGGAUAACAUGUUGAACCACAUGGUUCAACAGUGAAAGACGGUCUUGCUGUCACUUAUAGAUGGAUCCGCGCCGCAUUAGCUAGUUGGUAAGGUAACGGCUUACCAAGGCAACGAUGCGUAGCCGACCUGAGAGGGUGAUAGGCCACACUGGAACUGAGACACGGUCCAGACUCCUACGGGAGGCAGCAGUAGGGAAUCUUCCGCAAUGGGCGAAAGCCUGACGGAGCAACGCCGCGUGAGUGAAGAAGGUCUUCGGAUCGUAAAACUCUGUUAUUAGGGAAGAACAAAUGUGUAAGUAACUAUGCACGUCUUGACGGUACCUAAUCAGAAAGCCACGGCUAACUACGUG
rnacentral:rRNA from 1 species